UAGUCUCUAAGGUGCCACAAGUACUCCUGUUCUUUUUACUAAUACAGUAGUAGCAGCAUUUCACUAGGAAGGAGUACAGAAUUUUAAGCCGGGACCCAGAAGAGUGCUCCAGGGUACUGUUCUGAUGGAGAUUACAGCUUUCACAGAACAGUUAAAACUUAGCCCUUCACCACAUAGAGAGCCAAACUUCCAAAGUGGUGGAAUAAACCCUCUGUCAUAGUUAAAUUCCAGCUUGCUGAAUUGCAAUUCAUCCUACAUAAUAUUAUUAUCAGUUUCAAUUGAAUGACAAUUUUCCUUUCUAAAUUGCUGCAUAAUGAGUGUGAGACAGUUGUUGCCUAAGUUCAGGCAUAGCUGAAACAAUAUCUGUAUGUAAGUGUUUUGCUGUUGUAUCGUACACAUAUACUGGAUAAACUAAAAUUCUGGGUUUAUACCUACAUGAUAGAACUCCAUUCAGUUUUAUGAAAGGAUUGCGGUCAUCUCACAAGAAAGGAUCAUUUAUUACAGUUGGAGACAAAUUAUACAGGUAAGGGAUAUUGAAAUCCUUAUACAGAGCUAAAAACAAGCAUUACUAAUUUGAAUUAAGAUAAGCAGUCAGACUAGUUCUUGCAUCUAGAACUUCUGCUUCAUGUCCGACAACCCACUAGUUUUAUUUUAAAAACGACAGCAAGGCAAACCUAUCAUUUUGAUCCAAUAACUUGUACAGGUAGAAAAGAGAAUAUAUGUAACUUGCUCCUGUAGAAAGCUUACUACAAUUCGCUAUUCUUCUGUGCAGCAGUUACAGGAAACCUAAUUUGUGGAGACAUACAAAUACCAUGUUUGCAAACAUUAGAAAUAACUAGAGUUGCAUUUAACAGGCCCUUGCACGGCACAUAAUAAAGCUAUACAAAGACCAUUUCUGCUAAAAUACUUAGUAUUUUAAGAUUUAUCUACCAUCAGGACAGUUGAGAUAUAUUUACUUACCAUAAAACUGUCUAUUUAAUAUCUGUGAAAUUUCAGAUUUGCUGAACUUGUCAGGAUUCUUUUUGCACCAACUGCUUGUAAUGGCUGAGGCAGAAGGUAUGAAAAUUGACACUCUCCCAAUCGGAAGGGAGUCUUAAUGCAUCUCCUGGGUAAGAUGGCUGUAUAUCACUCCUUUUCACCAUAUAUCUACCCAACAGAGGACAAGAAGGAUACAAGAGUAAGUAAAGCAGCUUGUGAUGUGGAGGUUAUUGUACCCCUGGAGCAUAAGUUUUUGGAAACACAAGAAACAGGUUAGUCAUAGCUUUUUUAAAUUUAUUUAUUUAUUGAACUUCCAAGCUGUGUUUACAUAUAACAGUUACCAGGAAAGGAAAAGAAUGUAGGUAUUCCAUUUUAUAUCCUAGGGAAAGGAACACUGUCAGGAAAACUCCUAAUCUGUCUUAUUAGUGACAAGAUUUAAACCACUAGUUCACUUAAUAGUAUGUUGGUUAUUUUUUGCAUUUCUUUCAGCAACGACAGUGAAAUUAGACUUUUUUUUUUUGCUUUAUGCUUCUCAUGCAGCAGCAGAAUGCUAUUUUAGGAGUUUCCAGCACUGUAAGACGCGAUAAAAACAAGCAAGGUUCCCUCCACCAUGUUUUGCCAUGAAAAACAUUUCCAUUCAUUUUAGAUUUUGUAGAGUUAAAAAAAAAAAAAAAAAAAAACCUCUGAAGGUCCCACAGUAAAAUUAGAGAACAUAUGACUAAUGAUCUCUGAUAUAUUAUCUCAUCCCCUACCAGGGAUUUUCCUCUAAAUCAGCUCCCCCUCUCUUUUUGUGGUAAUCUAUCACUGGGUGAAAUCCUGACCCCAUUAAAGUUAAUGGCAGUUUUGCCAUUGAUUUCAGUGGGUCAGGAUUUCA